rnacentral:rRNA from 1 species
GACAGAGGGGGCAAGCGUUGCUCGGAAUUACUGGGCGUAAAGGGCGCGUAGGCGGGAUGGCAAGUCGGUCGUGAAAUCCCUCGGCUCAACUGAGGAGCGUCGAUCGAAACUGCCGUUCUUGAGGGUUGCAGAGGAGACUGGAAUUCCCGGUGUAGCGGUGAAAUGUGUAGAGAUCGGGAGGAACACCGGUGGCGAAGGCGGCCCACUGGUCCGGUACUGACGCUGAGGUGCGAAAGCGUGGGGAGCAAACAGG